rnacentral:rRNA from 1 species
AAUGAACGCUGGCGGCGGGCCUAACACAUGCAAGUCGAACGGAUCCUUCGGGAUUAGUGGCGGACGGGUGAGUAACGCGUGGGAACCUACCCUUUGGUACGGAAUAGCCUCGGGAAACUGGGAGUAAUACCGUAUGUGGUCGAGAGACGAAAGAUUUAUCGCCAAAGGAUUGGCCCGCGUUGGAUUAGGUAGUUGGUGGGGUAAUGGCCUACCAGGCCGACGAUCCAUAGCUGGUUUGAGAGGAUGAUCAGCCACACUGGGACUGAGACACGGCCCAGAAUCCUACGGGAGGCAGCAGUGGGGAAUCUUAGACAAUGGGGGAAACCCUGAUCUAGCCAUGCCGCGUGAUCGAUGAAGGCCUUAGGGUUGUAAAGCUCUUUCAGCUGGGAAGAUAAUGACUGUACCAGCAGAAGAAGCCCCGGCUAACUCCGUGCCAGCCGCCGCGGUAA